AGAGGAAAGGGUGGGGCUUGGAGCAGGAGCAGAGAGGCCAGGCUCAAGCUGGAGAUAAUGGGGGUGCUCCAUUGCAAGUAAAUUUUCGUGUAUCCAGAGCCAUCCUUAUGAAAUAUGAGAAGCUGUUUUGUCCAAUUUCACAUGAUGACAUGCUAGGAUUUUGUUGAGUAAGGAUCUGUAAAUCGAGUGCCACUACCAUUCACUGUGCUGUGUUCUGACAGGUUUUACAUUGUGUACCUUUUUUAUUUUUAUGCCUAUUUUGAGUAGAAUUGCAUCCAGCGCUGUUUAGAGUCUACCAAAAAUUACACUGCAGUGGCAGUAAGCCUAAACUCAGUAGGAUACU